rnacentral:misc_RNA from 1 species
GAAAUGCGAUAAGUAAUGUGAAUUGCAGAAUUCAGUGAAUCAUCGAUUCUUUGAACGCACAUUGCGCCCGCCAGUAUUCUGGCGGGCAUGCCUGUCCGAGCGUCAUUUCAACCAUCAAGCCCCCGGGCUUGUGUUGGGGACCUGCGGCUGCCCGCAGGCCCUGAAAACCAGUGGCGGGCUCGCUGUCACACCGAGCGUAGUAGCAAUCACCUCGCUCAGGGCGUGCUGCGGGUUCCGGCCGUUAAACAGCCUUACAAAACCCAAGGUUGACCUCGGAUCAGGUAGGAAGACCCGCUGAACUUAAGC